UAUUUUCUUUGACUCCCACCAGUCCCACUACUCCCACCCUAAAUCCGUUAAGUUAGGUAAAGUUAGGAUAAGGACAAUGCGUGUGUGACGAGUCGUAAAUUAUACAUUGAAAAUUUUCGAAAAUAACAAGGUAUUCUGUGGUGAAUAGAACUAAUCGAACAUGAUGAAGGUGAUUGACGUGAGUGCAGAAAACGUUAACGAAAGUGUGUUGAAACUGAGAAACAGCAUUCACUAUGGAGAAAUGAAGGGCGCUUACAAUAUCGUGAUGGCUACUCUCUCUGUGCUCAAGGAAAUUGUCAAUAAUACAGAAUGGAAUACAGCCAAAGAUUUAAUGGAUAUUGUUAUGCGGAAUGGAAAGUACCUGAUUAAGAUGCUUCCCCUUGAAACUUGUAUUGGAAAUAUGGUAAGAAGGGUGUUGCAGAUUAUCAGGGAAGAAUAUACCUCGGAAUUAAAGAAUAAGACAGACGAGAUGUACCCCCAAGAGUCCUUACACAAAAUUCUUACUGCCGAGAAUGACCAGCAGAUAGACUUUGAUGUUUCGAUACCUUACCUCAAAGCCUCCGUCAUUGAACACAUUAACGAAUUUGAAACUGAGGUAGAAACAUGUGCAGAAAAUAUUACACGACAAGCGCCCAAGCAUAUACACUCAAAUGAAAUUAUAAUGACCAUUGGUAAAUCAAAAUUAGUGGAAGAAUUUUUCAAAAAAGCUGCUGCUUCUAGAGCCUUCGAGAUUAUAGUAGCCGAGGGUGGACCCUCUUUAAGUGGCCAAGAAAUGGCGGUAAACCUGGCCAAGGCAAAGAUCAAGACCACAUUGAUAUCGGAUGUGGCCAUCUUUGCUAUGAUGUCCCGCGUCAACAAGGUCAUCAUCGGCACUCACACAGUUAUGGCGAAUGGCGGACUCCAGGCAAUAUCAGGCACACAUAUCGUCGCGCAGGCUGCCAAGCACUAUUCCGUUCCAGUGUUGGUACUGCUACCCCUCUAUAAGCUGGCGCCUCUUUACCACUACUCAGGCAAACAGAGUGGCUUCAACUCUCUUGUAUCGCCGAUGGACGGCGUAAUCCACAGUGCUAACGCACCACUGCUGGAGCGGAUACAAACUUAUAAUCCCAUGUUUGAUUACGUUCCACCAGAUCUCGUCACGUUAUUCAUCUCAAACACGGGUGGAAACGCGCCAUCUUACGUGUAUAGAUUACUUAGCGAAUUAUACAAUCCUGAUGAUUACGAUUACAAUUAUACGAUUGUACAAUCCUGAACUAUGAGCAAUUAUGAACCUUACUCAUGAUCAUUUCUUCAAGCGAGAGCACAGACUUUUAUAGAAAAGAAUUGAUCAAUCAGGAUCCUUUAUUUCUCUUUCUAGAAUAAAAAGGACUCUUGUGUAAGGACAUUGUGAAAAAGUUUGCGAUCCUGCCUUUGCAAUAGUUUUAAGUAUAAUCUUCAGCACAUCAAAAUGGUUUAUUUAUAAAUUAUAAUAAUUUAAAUAUAAAAAUUCCCUAAAUGGGAAUUAAGUAAAUUAUCA